UACGUAGGGUCCGAGCGUUGUCCGGAAUUACUGGGCGUAAAGAGCUCGUAGGCGGUUUGUCGCGUCUGCUGUGAAAACCCGAGGCUCAACCCCGGACUUGCAGUGGGUACGGGCAGACUAGAGUGUGGUAGGGGAGACUGGAAUUCCUGGUGUAGCGGUGAAAUGCGCAGAUAUCAGGAGGAACACCAAUGGCGAAGGCAGCUCGCUGGGACGUGACUGA
rnacentral:rRNA from 1 species